rnacentral:lncRNA from 1 species
CGGCUGUCCAGGCCGGAGCAGCCAUAGUGUAGCCUGGAGCCCCCCCACCGCUCCCAGGGAGGGGAGGGGCCGCCUGAGAUCCCUCAGGAAAGACUGGAUUCCAGGAGGCCUGACCCUCCGAGGGGAACUCGUGUGCUGCCCGCCUGCUUCCUGCCGGGGACCGUCGGCCACUGAGCCUUCCAGGACCGGAGCUGCAGGGGCGACGCAGCCACCCACAGUCCCUCCACCUCAUCUUCCGCCGUCCCAUCGCCUGCCAGCUCGUCAUUCAGCGUGGAUUUCCUGAGCCACCCCCAGGCACCAGCACCAUGGCUCAGGCGAUGUGCAGACAACAAAGAAAGAAGUAAGAAACAAAUUUAAAAAAUGAUUAAAAUUAAAAUCAUUUAAAAUUAAAUGAUUAAAGUAGAGCAGUUGAGAACCUGGAUGGAGGUAGCUAGAUGGUUGGGGCGUUCUACUUUUAAAUGUCAAGGGACAUCUCAGUGUGAAGGUAACGUUUGUGCCAAGGGGGUUCAUCU